rnacentral:rRNA from 1 species
UGGGGAAUAUUGCACAAUGGGCGCAAGCCUGAUGCAGCCAUGCCGCGUGUGUGAAGAAGGCAUUCGGGGUGUAAAGCACUUUCAGCGGGGAGGAAGGCGUGAAGGUUAAUAACCUUGGCGAGUGACGGUACCCGCAGAAGAAGCAACGGCUAACGCCGUGCCAGCAGCCGCGGUAAUACGGAGGGUGCAAGCGUUAAUCGGAAUUACUGGGCGUAAAGCGCACGCAGGCGGUCUGUCAAGUCGGAUGUGAAAUCCCCGGGCUCAACCUGGGAACUGCAUUCGAAACUGGCAGGCUAGAGUCUUGUAGAGGGGGGUAGAAUUCCAGGUGUAGCGGUGAAAUGCGUAGAGAUCUGGAGGAAUACCGGUGGCGAAGGCGGCCCCCUGGCCAAAGACUGACGCUCAGGUGCGAAAGCGUGGGGAGCAACCCGG